UCAUGCGUGUCAAUCAGGCAGUCUCCU
rnacentral:piRNA from 1 species